rnacentral:rRNA from 1 species
GAACUCGCCACCGCCGCCACCUCCCUCCGCCCUACGUCCGAACCUCCCGCUCCGACUUCGCCGCCUGGUCCUGCCUACCGCUCGCCGGCGCUGCCGACGCCAACCCAAGCCCUCUCGGACGCGGCCGCUCGCUGGCCACUCCUCCUGCUUGUUCCCUCUCCUCCUGCAUCUAGCCGCUUGACACCCGACCCGAACACCGCAACCCUAUAGUCUUUCCCGUGGCUAUCCGCGGCCGCGUGGCCGGGUUUAAACCCGGCCAGUCGCGCGUCGGUAGGCUAAGCGCAUAUAUGUUGGCAACCUAACCUGGAAAGGACGAGAGAAGUGGGCACGAACGGCCGGUGUGGGCUCGGCGGGCGCGAGCGCGGAAGUGAGCGGCCGACGGGCGCGAACGCGGACUUAGCGGCCGGCGGGCGCGAGCGCGGGUACGAGUGGCCAGUUGGGACGCGGCGGGCACGAGCGGUCGGUGAGGGUGGGCGGCGAUUAGCGUCAGCUCGGACGUCCAGGUACCACUUUUUUCCUACAUCGGUUUUAGGAGCUGCCCGCAUCUUUUCUCAUGUCUCCAACAUAGUUUUUAUCCAGCGGCGGCAGCUCGGACGUCCAAGUAGUACUUUUUUCCCUACAUCGUGUUUGGUAGUUGCCUGCAUCGUUUUUAAUGUUGCCAACAUCGUUUUUAUCCAGCGGCGGCAGCUCGGAUGUUCAAGUGGUACUUUCUUCCUACAUCGUUUUUAGUAGGUGCCUGUAUAGUUUUUAAUGUUGCCAACAUCGUUUUUAUCCAGCGGCGGUAGCUCGGAUGUCCAAGUGGUACUUUCUUCCUACAUCGUUUUUAGUAGGUGCCUGCAUCGUUUUUGAUGUUGCCAACAUCGUUUUUUAUCCAGCGACAGCAGUGCCCUGCGUCGAGCCGGCACUUACUUACAUCGUUUUAGGCAUCGGCAAAGGUCGUUUUAAGCGGCGGCUAUGGUCGUUCUUCCUUUUUGCCAACAUCGUGAACAUAAGGUCACUUUUCUUUUCAAUGGCAAGUGGCGUGCGUCGAGGGGGCCUCCGGCUAACGUCGAGGGGCGGUAGGUACCAACGUCGAGCUUAAAGCCGGCGUCGAGGGUACCUGCGGCCAGCAUCGAGGGUGCUUUUGCCCAACGUCGAGGACGGCAGGUACCAACGUCGAGCGGCGAGGCCCGCAGCCCCCUCUUCUCCUACGUCAAGGUGUAGGUACCUGCGACGAGGGCGAACGUAGUCGAGACCGCAGGAGUUUUUACGUC